GGGAGCUUUGCAGCCUGGACACUUUGCAAACACAUCCGCCUCUGAUUUAUUGAUGGGAGACGCGAGGCCUCCUGGGGAAAGACAAAUAAGGUGCCGGCUAACGAUACAUGUCCAAAUGCAGGGCGAGGGGAACAGCAGGAGCUGCAAAGCUGGGGCCAGCAAGCCCCUUGCCAGAUCAGGCUUCUAAAAUGGCUGACGUGAGAACAAGCUUUACAGCUCUGUUUCCCUGUACUUUGGGGUUUUUUGUAGCCCGACAGCGCUUGGAUUACGGCCAACUUGGCUUUUUUAUGUUGCGUUCUUCUCCUUUUGUGGUGGCCAGUCCGGAUUCGUCGUUGAAGUUCGCUAGGGGGUAGGACAGCAAGGGGCUGCUGGUUUCUUGUUUAGGAACCGCGUAGUUAGUCCUAGGGGAAAAUAUAUUAGAUUGAGUCCGUCCCUCUGCAAAUGCAACAUAUACUAGCUCAAGGAUAGAGAACGAAUCCGAUAUUAAACUGUAUUUGAUCGUAGCCAAACGUCUCUUCUGCAGUAGGGCAAAAGUGACAAGGUUAGAGCGUCCUGUGUGUGUUUAAUCAGUUACAAAAUAUUAACAGGUUGGAUGGAAAAAACGCAAAGGGUCCAGCAAGACAGAAUGAACCAUUAAUCCACCUGAUGACAAUCAGAUGAACAGUGUUGGAGUGCAUUGAUACAUGUGGGAAAUUGCUUUAGAUAUUUAUUCCUUUUUUAUGACAGUGGAUCUGUUAUUGGAAAUCUGAUUAUAUUUCUGCUGUGUCUUAAUUUCGGAGGUGGAGUUUGUGUCUGUCUGGGCUGAAACUUUGCACAUUAAAAAAACACAAAAACCAAAACUGACAGACUUUUAAAAUUGCAUAAUGCACUUAAUCAUAAACAUCUUUCAGUUUUCAUAUGCAUUCAUAAUCUUUUAUGCGUUGCACAUCUGAAUUGUGUAAUUGAGUCUGUUGGAAGUAUACUGUUUGUCAGUUUUCUAAACCUAUAGCUGUUUAAGAAAAUAUUUGUGGUACAAAUUAAGGGCCAGUCUUUCUCAGGCAAAACUUCUGAGCUGAAACUCUACCUUAUUGAAGUCAAUGGGAGUUUUCAUGUUGACAUGAAUGGGACCAAGAGUUCAUUCCUGUAGAGUUUAGUAGUUUCAGCUGAGUAAGGUACAGGAUUAGAAAUUAAUUUUGCUCUGUUUAUCACUGUUUUGCGUGUCUGGAAACAGAAAUAUCAAACAUUUACUAGACAGAUUAAAAGGUUGUCUAGUUUCAGUGUAGCUACUUAUAAGUUCCUCUGCUUGUUACCAGAUGUACUGACCAAAACCUGUCUGACGAGAGCUUAAAAAACAGUUUUAAAAAAAGUGCUUGGAAAGGAUGCUGUCCAGGCAAUAAUUCCAGCAGCAGAUGAGCUUUCUUCAGGGAUGGUGGGACUUUGAAUCUGCCCUGGACACGCUUCUGUUAGUUGUCAGAACUGGUCCCCAUUCUCAAUGGCAUGCCUCAAGGAAUUUUCCUGAAAUGGCCUUUUCAAGCAUGUUUGAAAGCAGAAGUAAAAGAAAUUCUAAGUAAAGUAUAUGUAAUCUGAGGUUUUGGGAGAGGGAAGUUGCCCAAGACCCACCUGCGGACUUGUCAGAAUUGAGAUAAAUGCUGUUUUCUAAUUGAACUCUCACAGGAUCUGAGAACCACCAGAAAUCUCCCUUCCACUUUCACUUCUUCAACCUUGUCAUCUUUAUUAGAAACACAGCAACAUGCACAUUAAAACAUUACCAACCCAAACCAUACCAAAACAAAAAACUACACUGCACACACAAUUCUCUCUAGGGAGAGGAUGAGAGAGAGAAUAAACCACACAUGACAAAUGUUAGUCACAUUGUUUAAUGCAGUGCUGAAAGGCGCUUAGUUACUAAGGAGAUGAGGGCGUUAUGAGAACAUGUAUAUUAAGCCAGUAUUUUGUAACAUAUUGAGCUUAUAUUGCAGGAUAACAAUAGGUCUAGAACCCAAGUACAGACCUAAAAUAUACACGGCUGUAAUUUUUUAAAUUUUAUUUAUUUAUUUAUUUAUUUAUUUGAAAAAGUCCUGGGAGACAUUCUGGUCUCAGGUUUAAAAAAAAAAAAUAAGGAAGGGGAAAGUGGAAGAAGAUUGGCAGAGGUAAGCAUAUGUAAUUGUUUGGUGAGCAUUUACUCCCAGACUCCAAGGAGAGAUGAUACCAAACCAGAUGGUCUUCAAGUACAAAAGUAGAUCCUCUGGUAUGACCAAAAGGGACAGAAGCUGAAGCCAGGAGGAAUGGUAGUACACAAAGGUGGCAUAAAACGCCUUUUGCAUUGCCUUGCUCUGCUGCAUGCCAUCUUCAUUGCAUUGUACUGGAGCAGCUCUCUACCUCAGCUGUAUUUUAUUGCAAGAUCACCUGGUGGGUAAUCCUCCCUGGGCUGGUUACACAGGGUUUGCAGCCAAAGUAUGCUGGCAAUGUGGCACAGAACAGCCAAGGCACACCUGAGGACCUAGCCAAUAACCUGUGAAGAAGGGAAUGAUGAGAAAUGUAGUUGCAGGAGGUAGCAGAGGGGAGAGAUAUGUUUUAAAUAGAAAUUUAUGCUAAUGUUUUGUUGAACUUCUCUUACAGAAGAGAUCCCACGUGUAAUGCUUUUACAAUAAUGUGUUUGAACAGUUACAUCAAUAAAUAAAGAAUUUUUUUAACAAGUUAAAAGUUCUAAUCUCUGUGUCUGCAUAGUUAGCUAUCAAGAUAUUAUUUUGGAAUUGCAAAAUACUUACAGUUGCUGGAGGAAUUCCAUUCGGAACCUCUGAUUUAAGUUUUAUGGAGGUGCCUGAAACCUUCUGAUAUUUGACAGAGCUUGCUCAGUGGAAUAAGUCCCCACUAAAGGAUUCUGGAUCCUCAGCAAAUUUUAAAGUCUGUUGGUCAAUUCCUUCAAUACCAGACAUCAACCUGACUUAUUCAAGGCUGUAGGUCUUCAUAACUUCACCACAUCAAGCCAUAUUUGAUGAAGUCACACCUUGGAGGGUCAUAGCCAGUCUUUGGUUACCUUAGAUUUGGAUAAGCGUGUCUUUGAUCUUAGACCACUGUACUUCUAAGAUUACAGAUAAAGGUGCAUUGGCAUUGUAUACUACGUCAUGGUGCUUGUUUUGGUGUCAGGAAAACUUAAUUUACUCAUUUUAAAUAUAUAGGGCAGUUUACGUAGCUACUUUUUAUUCCACAGAGAUUUCCUUCUUUUCCCUGGUAGCAUCAUUUUUUGGUGGAGGUCUGGCAACUCUAUCCCUGUCAGCAGAAGUUUUUUCUGUAGGGACUCAUUUGACCUCUCUCCAAAGGGAGGGAGAAGCCUUUGAUAGGCAAUUCUGCCAGCCUUCCCCUGACAACGUAGAUGGCUAAACUGGACAGUUUGUGCCUGCCUCAGGAGUAUGAUAGAUUUAUCUGCUGUGUAUUUUAGGGUGCCAGUAUUAAAGAGACAUAAGAGAGAGAAUUGGAGCAGGCUGACUUCUCUCUUCCUCUCCCACUGUUUUGAUGGGGGUGUUACUGAACUUGUCCCAGACCUCAAAAGAAAAUAACUAACCUUCCAGUUCAGGUCCAAAGGUUGUGCAAAUCUCUUGCUUCCUUGUUUGGCCGUCCGGUUCAGCUGUCCUCGAAUGAGUGCAGGAGGGAGGGGCAAGGUUGUUGACUUUUACAUUAGCAAAGUUUUUCUGCAUGAGGAAUCUUAGAUUUAUUUUAACUUUGAGAUUCUUGGGAAAGGGAAUAAAGGGAAAUGAGUGGCUAGUUUCCACCCUUUGAGGUAAAUUCUUGCAUGGUCAUCUGUACUACUGAUUAAAUAAUAUAUCUGCUUAGAAACAUCAUCAUGAUGGUCUUUGCACAGUUGCCUCUGAAGCUCCUUUGAGGAUGUUGCCAACAAUUGAGUGAACAAUACACACAAAGUAAUUACAAAUUAAAAAAGAACAAAAACAAAAAAAACAAUCAAAACUUGUUUCACUGGAACGCUACCAAAAACCAUUGCUGUUAAUGAUAUAGCUUGGAAACUUGGGAUUCAUUUCUUGAACUUUCCGACCUUGAGCUGGGAACAUUGGUUGCAAAUCUUUCUUCAAGCAGUAGAAAUGAACAUAUUGGAGCAGAGGAGCUCUUGGAAAUGGUCCAUAUCUGACUUCCUUUUGUGUUUCUCUCGUUUUAAAUCUCUUCCUGACUUGAAUGGUAAAUAUGAAACUUUGCGAUGGUGAAAUACUGUUUCCCUCAUUUCCAGUACACUGAUAUUAUAUUUUAAACAAGAUAUUUGUACUACACUACUACAAUAACUACCUUGGCAGUUUUGUCUUACCAGCCACAAAAUGAUGUUGAUGUCCAUGAAUGCCAUUUCAGGAUAAGUCAAUUCAGUACAUGGAAGGGAAGAUUGUUUUACAUAGACUAUUUCUAAGUGUUUUCUCUGUUGUCAGAUUAACAAACUGAUACUUGGAGUGAAAAGCUGAAAUUUCCUGCAAAACAAAAGUUCCAGAAAACUUCAGUUUGAAACUAUCAAAUCAUAUCAUUCUGAUAGUCAAAAGUAUAACAUUAUAAAUUAUAAUUAAUAUGUAUAUGUAGAGUAUAAUAAAAUUACUAGUUUAAUAUAUAAAAGUUGAAACAAAUAAAAAUGAAAUUGAAACUU